AUUUACUCUCCUUUUUCUCUUUCUUUUUCCUCAUAGUUUAUUCUCUUUUUACCUGUAUGUUUGACAUUGUAAGUGUUCCUCUCAACAUGGCUUCCGCUAUUAAAAGGAUCCUGUAAAGUUGAAUUUCUCUAAUUCCUCUACUUAGUGUUCUUGAAUUUAAAUGGUUCUUUUCACAUGCAGUCAAAUUCGAGGGCAUGUUGAACAAAUGGGUCUU
rnacentral:misc_RNA from 1 species